CGUCAAAUCAGCACGGCCCUUAUGUCCAGGGCUACACACGUGUUACAAUGGUCGGUACAGAGGGCAGCUACCUGGUGACAGGAUGCUAAUCUCGAAAACCGGCCUCAGUUCGGAUCGAAGUCUGCAACUCGACUUCGUGAAGCUGGAUUCGCUAGUAAUCGCGCAUCAGCCAUGGCGCGGUGAAUACGUUCCCGGGCCUU
rnacentral:rRNA from 1 species